rnacentral:rRNA from 1 species
AUUGAACGCUGGCGGCAUGCCUUACACAUGCAAGUCGAACGGCAGCGCGGACUUCGGUCUGGCGGCGAGUGGCGAACGGGUGAGUAAUACAUCGGAACGUACCCUGUUGUGGGGGAUAACUAGUCGAAAGAUUAGCUAAUACCGCAUACGACCUGAGGGUGAAAGUGGGGGACCGGAAACGGCCUCAUGCAGCAGGAGCGGCCGAUGUCUGAUUAGCUAGUUGGUGGGGUAAAGGCCCACCAAGGCGACGAUCAGUAGCUGGUCUGAGAGGACGAUCAGCCACACCGGGACUGAGACACGGCCCAGACUCCUACGGGAGGCAGCAGUGGGGAAUUUUGGACAAUGGGGGCAACCCUGAUCCAGCAAUGCCGCGUGUGUGAAGAAGGCCUUCGGGUUGUAAAGCACUUUUGUCCGGAAAGAAAUCGCGCUGGUUAAUACCUGGCGUGGAUGACGGUACCGGAAGAAUAAGCACCGGCUAACUACGUG